rnacentral:rRNA from 1 species
GCCCGCUCAGAAACUUAAAGGAAUUGACGGGGGCCCGGCACAAGCGGAGGAGCAUGUGGUUUAAUUCGAUGAUACGCGAGGAACCUUACCUGGGCUCGAACGUAAGAUGACUGUAGGUGAAAGCUUACAUCUCUUCGGAGCAUUUUACGAGGUGCUGCAUGGUUGUCGUCAGCUCGUGCCGUGAGGUGUCGGGUUAAGUCCCAUAACGAGCGCAACCCCUACCUUUAGUUGCCAUCAGGUUAAGCUGGGGACUCUAAAGGAACUGCCUACGCAAGUAGUGAGGAAGGCGGGGAUGACGUCAAAUCAGCACGGCCCUUACGUCCAGGGCUACACACGUGCUACAAUGGCCGAUACAGAGGGCAGCUACCUGGUGACAGGAUGCAAAUCUCCAAAGUCGGUCUCAGUUCGGAUCGGAGUCUGCAACCCGACUCCGUGAAGUUGGAUUCGCUAGUAAUCGCGCAUCAGCCAUGGCGCGGUGAAUACGUUCCCGGGCCUU